GAGACGACGCUGGCGGCGUGCCUAACACAUGCAAGUCGAGCGGGGUUGAAGCGAGAGGUAACUCGAGCUUCUACCUAGCGGCGGACGGGUGAGUAACGCGUGGGCAACCUGCCUCAAGGUUUGGGAUAACAGCCCGAAAGGGCUGCUAAUACCGGAUAUGCCUAUGGCCUCGCAUGGGGCUAUGAGCAAAGGGGAAACCCGCCUUGAGAUGGGCCCGCGUCCCAUCAGCUAGUUGGUGAGGUAACAGCUCACCAAGGCGACGACGGGUAGCCGGCCUGAGAGGGUGACCGGCCACACUGGGACUGAGACACGGCCCAGACUCCUACGGGGGGCAGCAGUGGGGGAUCUUGCACAAUGGGCGAAAGCCUGAUGCAGCGACGCCGCGUGAGCGAAGAAGGCCUUCGGGUUGUAAAGCUCUGUCUGGAGGGACGAACAAAAUGACGGUACCUCCGGAGGAAGCCACGGCUAACUACGUG
rnacentral:rRNA from 1 species